CAAGCACCAAACCAGCGUGCGUGAGUGCAGAGUUGGAUGGUGAGCCGUGCAUUGCAUGACGUGCAAUUUUGUGCUGUUCCUAUCAGAAUAAAGCUCCAUGACUGGUGUUACAAGAUGGAGU